rnacentral:rRNA from 1 species
GACGAACGCUGGCGGCGUGCCUAAUACAUGCAAGUAGAACGCACAGUUUAUACCGUAGCUUGCUACACCAUAGACUGUGAGUUGCGAACGGGUGAGUAACGCGUAGGUAACCUGCCUGGUAGCGGGGGAUAACUAUUGGAAACGGUAGCUAAUACCGCAUAAUAUUAAUUAUUGCAUGAUAAUUAAUUGAAAGGUGCAAUUGCACCACUACCAGAUGGACCUGCGUUGUAUUAGCUAGUAGGUGAGGUAACGGCUCACCUAGGCGACGAUACAUAGCCGACCUGAGAGGGUGAUCGGCCACACUGGGACUGAGACACGGCCCAGACUCCUACGGGAGGCAGCAGUAGGGAAUCUUCGGCAAUGGACGAAAGUCUGACCGAGCAACGCCGCGUGAGUGAAGAAGGUUUUCGGAUCGUAAAGCUCUGUUGUAAGAGAAGAACGGGUGUGAGAGUGGAAAGUUCACACUGUGACGGUACCUUAACAGAAAGGGACGGCUAACUACGUG